GCAAUAGCGCAGUGGUAACGCGUCUGCCUGUCACGCCGAACGCCCGGGUUCGAUCCCCGGUGGAGGCA